UCCUACGGGAGGCAGCAGUGGGGAAUAUUGCACAAUGGGGGGAACCCUGAUGCAGCCAUGCCGCGUGUGUGAAGAAGGCCUUCGGGUUGUAAAGCACUUUCAGUUGUGAGGAAAGGUUAGUAGUUAAUACCUGCUAGCUGUGACGUUAGCAACAGAAGAAGCACCGGCUAACUCCGUGCCAGCAGCCGCGGUAAUACGGAGGGUGCGAGCGUUAAUCGGAAUUACUGGGCGUAAAGCGCACGCAGGCGGAUUGUUAAGCUAGAGGUGAAAGCCCCGCGCUCAACGUGGGAAUUGCCUUUAGAACUGGCAGUCUAGAGUCUUGGAGAGGGGAGCGGAAUUCCAGGUGUAGCGGUGAAAUGCGUAGAUAUCUGGAGGAACAUCAGUGGCGAAGGCGACUCCCUGGCCAAAGACUGACGCUCAUGUGCGAAAGUGUGGGUAGCGAACAGGAUUAGAUACCCUGGUAGUCCACACCGUAAACGCUGUCUACUAGCUGUUUGUGUAUUUAAUACGUGAGUAGCGAAGCUAACGCGCUAAGUAGACCGCCUGGGGAGUACGGCCGCAAGGUUAAAACUCAAAUGAAUUGACGGA
rnacentral:rRNA from 1 species